CUGAAUGAUUGGGCAGAAUCAGAGAGAUUAAACUGUAUAUGUUACCCAUGAUGGACAACACAAGUGAUUAUUCAUUUGACACACACCUACCAGCCAAAUAAAUCUAUCAAACUAAAGGUGCUUAAUAAACCUCCGUCUGCGUGUGUCAUGUGAUGUGAUGUGAUGAAACGGUGGGAUGGACGGUCCACUCCCACGUUUAGAGGUGGAUACAGUAUUGCUAUAAAUAGCCGGAUCAUUUUAUCACUGAUCAUAUCGUCAGUUUUAGUGAACUGACUCUCAGGUUGGGAACAAUGUUUGCAAAAGGAGUCAUCAUCCUUCUCUGCGUCCUAAUGACCAUUUCUGAUGGAGAAAGAAUGCCUAAAUGCGUCCUCCAGACUCAGAAGUGCCCAAACACACUUAAGCCCGUGUGUGGAACCGAUGGGAAAACAUACGCCAAUGAAUGCCUUCUGUGUGCUGCGCUCAAGGCACCAAGUACAAGGCCAUUCUUUAUCCAGAAAGAUGGCCCGUGUUAAAUACACAUCUGCAGGAGUGACACAGGAAUGGCACCAUAAUUCAGCUUGACAGACCUUUAUUCAGCUACUCAUGUCUCAUUCAUCAUGACCUGAAUGUGUAACGAUUUAAUCCAUAAAUAAAUGUUGCAUACUGAA